GACUAUGGCCAUGCCACUCUGAACAAGCCCGAUCCCGUCUGAUCGGGAGCUAAGCAAGGUUGGGCCUGGUUAGUACUUGGAUGGGAGACCACCUAGGAAGACCAGGUGCUGUAGGUG
rnacentral:rRNA from 1 species